UACGAAGGGGGCUAGCGUUGCUCGGAAUCACUGGGCGUAAAGGGUGCGUAGGCGGGUCUUUAAGUCAGGGGUGAAAUCCUGGAGCUCAACUCCAGAACUGCCUUUGAUACUGAAGAUCUUGAGUUCGGGAGAGGUGAGUGGAACUGCGAGUGUAGAGGUGAAAUUCGUAGAUAUUCGCAAGAACACCAGUGGCGAAGGCGGCUCACUGGCCCGAUACUGACGCUGAGGCACGGAAGCGUGGGGAGCAAACAGG
rnacentral:rRNA from 1 species